rnacentral:rRNA from 1 species
UGUGACCUCAAAUCAGGUAGGACUACCCGCUGAACUUAAGCAUAUCAAUAAGCGGAGGAAAAGAAACUAACAAGGAUUCCCCUAGUAACUGCGAGUGAAGCGGGAAAAGCUCAAAUUUAAAAUCUGGCAGUCUUUUGGCUGUCCGAGUUGUAAUCUAGAGAAGUGUUAUCCGCGCUGGACCGUGUACAAGUCUCCUGGAAUGGAGCAUCAUAGAGGGUGAGAAUCCCGUCUUUGACAUGGACUGCCAGGGCUUUGUGAUGCGCUCUCAAAGAGUCGAGUUGUUUGGGAAUGCAGCUCAAAAUGGGUGGUAAAUUCCAUCUAAAGCUAAAUAUUGGCGAGAGACCGAUAGCGAACAAGUACCGUGAGGGAAAGAUGAAAAGAACUUUGGAAAGAGAGUUAAACAGUACGUGAAAUUGCUGAAAGGGAAACGCUUGAAGUCAGUCACAUCAUCCAGGGAUCAACCUUGCUUUUGCUUGGUGCACUUUCUGGUUUGAUGGGUCAGCAUCAAUUUUGACCAUUGGAAAAAGGUUAAGGGAAUGUGGCAUCUUUGGAUGUGUUUAUAGCCCUUGGUCACAUACAAUGGUUGGGAUUGAGGAACUCAGCACGCCGCAAGGCCCGGG